CUUGGCGACCAUAGCGUUUCGGACCCACCCCUUCCCUUCUCGAACAGGACCGUGAAACGAAACCGCGCCGAUGAUAUUGCAUACUACGUGUGAGAAAGUAGGUCAUCGCCAGGC
rnacentral:rRNA from 1 species